rnacentral:snRNA from 1 species
AGCUUUGUGCAGUGGCAGUAUCGUAGCCAAUGAGGUUUAUCCGAGGCGCGAUUAUUGCUAAUUGAAAGAAUCACUAGCCCGGGGAGCCUGGGUGGCUCAGCUGGUUAAGCGUCUGCCUUCGGCUCAUGUCCUGAUCCCAGGGUCCUGGGAUCGAGUUCCGCAUCAGCCUCCCUGCU